UCCACAAACAUUUGAAUUAUUUGAAUGUCCGUGUAGCAAACUACACCAUCUUGCCUAGUCUCUCUGUAACGUUAAUCACGUGCAGACUAUCUUUGAAGGACAAGUUACACAAACCUUAGACUUGUCAUUAUUUUUGUAUGAUGUGAUCAGCAUUAUUGUAGGCUACUUGCUCUCAUUCGACUUCUAUAUUAAACGAGUAAAGCAAGUAAGUUUUUCAUGAUCAUGGUAGAGGCUGCCUACUCAAUGUUUGAGUGAUUUGUUAAUCACAAACAAGCCUCAAUGUAAUUAAAUGUUUUCUUCCCAACUUUUAAUUCAAAUUCUAAAAGAUUUCAGUAAUCUGAUAUUAUUAUAGUUUUGCAUGGUGUAAAUUUGUUGAGUUUGAUAUACUUUCUCCACAGACGUGGGAGUGCAGAGUGCAAGACAUCAGCGUCAUUGAGGUCUCUCUUACAGAAGCAUUACAGAUGUGCAGAAUUUCACACGCAUUGUGCAACUGAAGUCCAAGUUUAUGCCAGAACUUGACAUCUGCUCCAGGCUGUCUGCUGAGUGCCAUAGGAAGGGAGGAGAAACAAGACAUAAGAAUAAGGAGAUCAUGGCUGCCAUUGAUCGGAAUCCUAUCAUUGGCUCGUUGAGAGUUUGCCACCUGCAAGCACUUGUUGUGUACUUGAAGGCCCUGAGAAACUCAAAGGAAUACCUGAGCUGCCAGGACUGGUGUCAUCACUGAAAGCGGUCAUAAACAACAUGGCAGAUUCAUCUAUUUCCUCCAGCCAAAGCGACUCACCA